CCUACGGGAGGCAGCAGUGGGGAAUAUUGGGCAAUGGGCGCAAGCCUGACCCAGCAACGCCGCGUGAAGGAAGAAGGCUUUCGGGUUGUAAACUUCUUUUUAGAGGGAAGAGCAGAAGACGGUACCUCUUGAAUAAGCCAUGGCUAACUACGGGCCAGCAGCCGCGUUAAUACGUAGGGGGCAAGUGGUGCCCGGAUUUAAUGGGUGAAAAGGGCGUGUAGCCGGGCUGACAAGUCAGAUGUGAAAUUCAGGGGCUCAACCCCGGACCUGCAUUUGAAACUGUUGGUCUUGAGUAUCGGAGAGGCAGGCGGAAGUCCUGGUGUAGCGGUGAAAUGCGUAGAUAUUAGGAGGAACACCAGUGGCGAAGGCGGCCUGCUGGACGACAACUGACGGUGAGGCGCGAAAGCGUGGGGAGCAAACAGGAUUAGAUACCCCGGUAGUC
rnacentral:rRNA from 1 species